rnacentral:rRNA from 1 species
ACGAACGCUGGCGGCGUGCUUCACCCAUGCACGUCGAACGGAAAGGCCCUGCUUUUGUGGGGUGCUCGAGUGGCGAACGGGUGAGUAACACGUGAGUAACCUGCCCUUGACUUUGGGAUAACUUCAGGAAACUGGGGCUAAUACCGGAUAGGAGCUCCUGCUGCAUGGUGGGGGUUGGAAAGUUUCGGCGGUUGGGGAUGGACUCGCGGCUUAUCAGCUUGUUGGUGGGGUAGUGGCUUACCAAGGCUUUGACGGGUAGCCGGCCUGAGAGGGUGACCGGCCACAUUGGGACUGAGAUACGGCCCAGACUCCUACGGGAGGCAGCAGUGGGGAAUAUUGCACAAUGGGCGGAAGCCUGAUGCAGCAACGCCGCGUGCGGGAUGACGGCCUUCGGGUUGUAAACCGCUUUCGCCUGUGACGAAGCGUGAGUGACGGUAAUGGGUAAAGAAGCACCGGCUAACUACGUG